GGCUGACCUUUUUGUGCAGCAAAAAGCCCAAGCUAACAAUCUACAGCAAUUUCUAAAAGACCGAAAAUAUAUCAACUUCUGCAAAAUAUGAAAAUUUAAAAUUUUUUUUUCAAAAUUUUUUUGCCAAAUAAUUGACAAAAAUUUCAGUGUCCCGAUUUGAAUGCGAAUUAAUUGAGGACAAUUGUGACUUUGUUUUGUAAAAAAAACAAUUUUUUUUACUGAAAAUUACCAUCAAGAAUCUAAGGCCAAAUCAGAAUAUUUUCACUGCGGUUUUUGAUCGCAAUUCUGCUAAAUCGGAUUCCGUGCCAAAAAGCUGACUAUUUUUUUUACUGAGAAUUAGCAUCAAGAAUUUAUUGCCAAAACAGAACGCAAUUCUGCUAAAUCGGGUUGCCCUGCCAAAAGGCUGGCCGUUUUGCGCAUUCAAUAACACAAGCUAACGGUUUACAGCACAUUCGGAAAGAUCCAAAAGAAUUUCUAUUUCGGCAUUUUUUAUGUAUUAUCGUCUAAUUUUUGUAUGUGUAUUCAUUCUUUUGGCUGUCCGUUAUUAAGCUGCUUUUCUUAUUCACAUAUUCAAUGGCGCAGUACAUAAAAAGAAUGAACCGUGGUUUUCUUGCCCUCUCCAUCUCCCUCUACCACUUCCCCUUUCAACAACUAUCUCACGCACUCUGUCCCUUCUCGUCUCUGUCACCCUCUCUUUACCUACCUCACUCUGGCACACUCUCUCUACCUAUCUCACUCUGUCACCUUCUCUACCUAAUUCUCUCUGUCGCGCUCGCUCUCUCAACAUGCCUUUCGCACCGUAUCUCUUCGUUUCUCUGUAUGCUUGCUCUCUUAAUUUAAGUUUCUCUUUCUUUGUGUUCAAUAUCUUUCGCGCUCGUGACUCCUAUUGACCGGACUCUGAGCGGUGCUCAUUAAGAGUGGAGUUUUCGAUGAUGGCGGGUGGCGCGAACGAGAAUUUUUUACAUAAAGGUAAACGAGUCACACGAGAAGUAAAACACAAACACAAGGAUCAAAAUAAAAUUCAGCAACUACCUCAUAACUCUCAGCAGCUCUCUGACCCCGCCCUCUCUCAUCAUCUCUGCCACCCCCCUCUCUCAUCGUUUCUUUCUAUUAUUCUCUUUCUUUGUGUUCACUCUCUGGCUCUAAAAUCUUCUUUCCCGCUUCUCCGAUUGAGUGGUGCUCAUUAAGAUCGGAGUGUUCAAUGAGGGCGGAUGUCGCGGACGCAAUGUUCUUUAGAAAAAGGUAAACGACUCUCAAGAGGAGUAGAGCAGAAACACCAGGAUCAAAAAUAAAUUGAGAUCGGAGUGUUCAAUGAGGGCGGAUGUCGCGGACGCAAUGUUCUUUAGAAAAAGGUAAACGACUCUCAAGAGGAGUAGAGCAGAAACACCAGGAUCAAAAAUAAAUUGAGGUAAGUGGACAAAAGUGUUUAAACAAGUUAAAGGUGCAUUUUUUUAACGUAAAAGAAACAAAAGCAGCAAGAACGGGACAACAUGCAGUUCCUUAAUAAAUAAAUACAUGCAUCUACACAAGUGUACAAAAGUGUUAAAUGUAGUUAAAGUGCAUGUUUUUAAAGUGAAAGAAACAAAAGCAGCAAGAACGGUUGAAAAUGUUGUUAUUUAAUAAAUAAAUAAAUACAUAAAUAUAUGAAAUUGGACAAAAGUGCAAAACAUAAGAGUACAAAAUUAGUUGAAAGUGCAUGUUUUUUUUUAAGUGAAAUAAAACAAAAACAGCAAUAACAGGCCAAAAUGUUGUUUUAUAAAUAAAUACUUACAUAUCCGCAUAUAAAUAUGAAUGAAAAAAAAACAGCAAGACCGGGCCAAAAUAUAGUUCUUUAAUAUGUAAAUAAAUACAUAUCUACAUAUACAUAUGUGGACAAAAGUGUUAAAAUUAGUUAAUAGUGCAUGUUUUUUAAAUGAAAAAAUAAAACAAAAAAAGCAAACAAAUAUAAAUUAUAUUC